CUUCGGGAGCGCAGUGACAGGUGCUGCAUGGCCGUCGUCAGCUCGUGUCGUGAGAUGUUGGGUUAAGUCCCGUAACGAGCGCAACCCUUGUCCUUAGUUGCCAGCGGUUCGGCCGGGAACUCUAGGGAGACUGCCGGUGACAAACCGGAGGAAGGUGGGGAUGACGUCAGGUCAUCAUGGCCCUUACGGCCAGGGCUACACACGUGCUACAAUGGGGCGCACAGAGGGCAGCUAAGCCGCGAGGUGCAGCGAAUCCCUUAAAACGCCUCGUAGUCCGGAUCGGAGUCUGCAACUCGACUCCGUGAAGUCGGAAUCGCUAGUAAUCGCAGAUCAGAAUGCUGCGGUGAAUACGUUCCCGGGCCUUGUACACACCGCCCGUCACA
rnacentral:rRNA from 1 species